rnacentral:rRNA from 1 species
AGCGGAAGGCCCUUCGGGGUACUCGAGCGGCGAACGGGUGAGUAACACGUGAGCAACCUGCCCCUGACUCUGGGAUAAGCCCGGGAAACUGGGUCUAAUACCGGAUACGACCGCCCCCGGCAUCGGGUGGUGGUGGAAAGUUUUUUCGGUUGGGGAUGGGCUCGCGGCCUAUCAGCUUGUUGGUGGGGUAGUGGCCUACCAAGGCGACGACGGGUAGCCGGCCUGAGAGGGCGACCGGCCACACUGGGACUGAGACACGGCCCAGACUCCUACGGGAGGCAGCAGUGGGGAAUAUUGCGCAAUGGGCGGAAGCCUGACGCAGCGACGCCGCGUGGGGGAUGACGGCCUUCGGGUUGUAAACCUCUUUCAGCAGGGACGAAGUUGACGUGUACCUGCAGAAGAAGCGCCGGCUAACUACGUGCCAGCAGCCGCGGUAAUACGUAGGGCGCAAGCGUUGUCCGGAAUUAUUGGGCGUAAAGAGCUCGUAGGUGGCUGGUCGCGUCUGCCGUGAAAGCCCGCAGCUUAACUGCGGGUCUGCGGUGGAUACGGGCCGGCUAGAGGUAGGUAGGGGCAAGUGGAAUUCCUGGUGUA